rnacentral:rRNA from 1 species
AGUCGAACGAAGCUGCUUAAGGAAGUCUUCGGAUGGAAUUUAGGUAGACUUAGUGCGCGGACGGGUGAGUAACGCGUGGAUAACCUGCCUUAUACAGGGGGAUAACGGAGAGAAAUUUCCGCCAAGACCGCAUAAGACCACAGCACCGCAUGGUGCAGGGGUAAAAUAUUUAUAGGUAUAAGAUGGAUCCGCGUCCGAUUAGCUAGUUGGUGAGGUAAAAGCCCACCAAGGCGACGAUCGGUAGCCGGCCUGAGAGGGUGAACGGCCACAUUGGGACUGAGACACGGCCCAAACUCCUACGGGAGGCAGCAGUGGGGAAUAUUGGACAAUGGGGGAAACCCUGAUCCAGCGACGCCGCGUGAGUGAAGAAGUAUUUCGGUAUGUAAAGCUCUAUCAGCAGGGAAGAAAAUGACGGUACCUGACUAAGAAGCCCCGGCUAACUACGUGCCAGCAGCCGCGGUAAUACGUAGGGGGCAAGCGUUAUCCGGAUUUACUGGGUGUAAAGGGAGCGCAGACGGCAAUGCAAGUCUGAAGUGAAAGGCGUGGGCUCAACCCAUGAACUGCUUUGGAAACUGUAUAGCUUGAGUGUCGGAGGGGUAAGCGGAAUUCCUAGUGUAGCGGUGAAAUGCGUAGAUAUUAGGAGGACACCGGAGGCGAAGGCGGCUUACUGGAC